rnacentral:rRNA from 1 species
UGGGGAAUAUUGGACAAUGGGCGAAAGCCUGAUCCAGCCAUGCCGCGUGUGUGAAGAAGGUCUUCGGAUUGUAAAGCACUUUAAGUUGGGAGGAAGGGCAGUAAGCGAAUACCUUGCUGUUUUGACGUUACCGACAGAAUAAGCACCGGCUAACUCUGUUCCAGCAGCCGCGGUAAUACAGAGGGUGCAAGCGUUAAUCGGAAUUACUGGGCGUAAAGCGCGCGUAGGUGGUUCGUUAAGUUGAAUGUGAAAGCCCCGGGCUCAAACUGGGAACUGCAUCAAAAGCUGGCGAGCUAUAGUAGGGCAGAGGGUGGUGGAAUUUCAUGUGUAGCGGUGAAAUGCGUAGAUAUAGGAAGGAACACCAGUGGCGAAGGCGACCACCUGGGCUAAUACUGACACUGAGGUGCGAAAGCGUGGGGAGCAAACAGG